ACCAUGGCUAUCGUCAUUGCUGGCAUUGCGAGGGAUGCAAAUGGCCUAAAGAUAAGAACAAGAGAAGAGGAGAGGAGAUAUGGAGGAGGAGGAGAAUAGCUAGACUUGUUGAGCUCCAUAACCUUGAAUCUCUUGACAGAGAGAAGAAAUGGAGAGACAAGAUUAAAUAAAAGUGAUUGGACAAUGGGACAUAUCAAGUAUUUAUGGGAUCUCUAGGGGGGUGAAAAGGUUGAUCCCAAAAAAUAGGAUUGCGGGCAGAUUUUGCAAAUACUCUAAACUACUCUGGACUGUCGGUUUUGCAUCUAUGUUCUGGAAAUCAACACAUCAACGAUGGCCAGCUUAAUUGGUUUUCCAGGAAUAGUUUCAUAGAGGGCAUAGCGUCAAGGAUAACAACAGGGAGCUUCAUCCUUCUUUUUCCUUAUUUCAACCUGAGGAAAAAAGAUUGCCUGCUCUUCCUUGCGGUUUUCCAGCCAGGCCAGAAAUUCGCGUUCUAACACGAUGUCCAGCUCUUCCUUGUUCUAUCCAGGCAGUAGCCAGAAAUUGGCGUUCCAAUUCAUUUUCCAUUAGAACCAAAUUCAUAAACGUUGCAGCUAUCAUCCACUUGGUCUGUGGUUGGACUUCAGACAACAGUUGCAGGGAAGCAGGUGGCCUCAACCACACGCAGGUCGCCUCAUAACAAAUUGAUGAGAUGAUAAAUACAACUACGAAGGCGGCGUAGGCUAAAAAGAAAAGGGGGUGGAAUAAUCUACGACCUGUCUCAGACUAGUGCAAUUUAUGAGAUCAUCAGUCAUCGCAUCAAGAAUUUCCAGGUUGGUUUUUCCAAUAGUAGUUUCAUAAGUGCAGAGCAGCUAAGGAUGACAGCAAAGCUUUUCUUAUGUUUUCCUUACCUCUAAAUGAUGUCUUGUUCUUCCUUUGCUGUGAACAAGAUAGCCAGAAAUUGGCUUCCGAGUUUUUUGCCACGGCCAAAUUCACAAACGUCGGCUAUCCCCACUUGGUUUGUGGUGGUUUCAGGUAACAAGAUACUGAUACAAU